rnacentral:lncRNA from 1 species
UUGUUCACCACAUAUACUUAUGUGUUGUGCGUAAUUAGAUUUUACACCAACAUUCAUCUCAGCCUUAAUCAUUAGGUUCUGUACCAAAGGAAGUUUGGUUUGGAAUUAGUUUUAAAGGAAUUCUAGAGCUUUAGAACUCUCAUCAACCAAGUGUUGGUUGAAUCAAAUGGGGAUCAUUAACUAAUCAAGAGUUCGAUUACAAUAUCAUCAUGAAAAAAGUAUGUUAACGAAUUACUUAAGAGAUAGAGUCUCAAUGGUUUAUAAAUG